CCCUGGUUAGCUCAGUUGGUAGAGCGCUCCACUUGUAAUGGAGAGGUCCCGGGUUCGAUACCCGGACC
rnacentral:tRNA from 1 species